rnacentral:lncRNA from 1 species
GAGACCACAACAAGUAGUUCCCUACACCUUUUAAGGCAACCGGAACCAUAACAAGCUUACUGUAGUUUCCUUCCAUCUUCUCUUUGCCUCUAGUUACUUCUAGUCUUCAAUCUUGUACUUCAGUUGAGCUUCUACCACACCAGAUCUUCAAGAACACACGGGACCAAAGAACCAAGGGUAAGACACUUCAACAAACUGACAAGACUUCCCGGAAGUAUCAAGAACAAACGCAAGAACACAAAGAAGGAAUGAGUAAGAAUCACACAAAGGAACUAAG